rnacentral:rRNA from 1 species
CAUCUACGGAGAGUUUGAUCCUGGCUCAGGACGAACGCUGGCGGCGUGCUUAACACAUGCAAGUCGAACGAGGGCGCCUCUUCGGGGGUGUUCCUAGUGGCGAACGGGUGAGUAACACGUGGGCAACCUGCCCCCGGCUCUGGGAUAACUCCAAGAAAUUGGGGCUAAUACCGGAUGUUCACUGCUG